UCUGACGGAGCAACGCCGCGUGAACGAAGAAGGUCUUCGGAUUGUAAAGUUCUGUGAUUCGGGACGAAAGGGUUUGUGGUGAAUAAUCAUAGACAUUGACGGUACCGAAAAAGCAAGCCACGGCUAACUACGUGCCAGCAGCCGCGGUAAUACGUAGGUGGCAAGCGUUGUCCGGAAUUAUUGGGCGUAAAGCGCGCGCAGGCGGUUUCUUAAGUCCAUCUUAAAAGCGUGGGGCUCAACCCCAUGAGGGGAUGGAAACUGGGAAGCUGGAGUAUCGGAGAGGAAAGUGGAAUUCCUAGUGUAGCGGUGAAAUGCGUAGAGAUUAGGAAGAACACCGGUGGCGAAGGCGACUUUCUAGACGAAAACUGACGCUGAGGCGCGAAAGCGUGGGGAGCAACAGGAUUAGAUACCCUGGUACUUCACGCCGUAAACGAUGGAUACUAGGUGUAGGAGGUAUCACCCCUCCUGUGCCGACUAA
rnacentral:rRNA from 1 species